rnacentral:rRNA from 1 species
UACGUAGGGUGCAAGCGUUGUCCGGAAUUAUUGGGCGUAAAGAGCUUGUAGGCGGUUUGUCGCGUCUGCUGUGAAAUUUCGGGGCUCAACCCCGAACUUGCAGUGGGGUACGGGCAGACUAGAGUGUGGUAGGGGAGACUGGAAUUCCUGGUGUAGCGGUGAAAUGCGCAGAUAUCAGGAGGAACACCGAUGGCGAAGGCAGGUCUCUGGGCCAUAACUGACGUGAGAAGCGAAAGCAUGGGGAGCGAACAGG